rnacentral:tRNA from 1 species
GGGUGUAGCUCAGUGGCAGAGCACGUGCCUAGCAUGCAGGAGGUCCUGGGUUCAAUCUCUGGUACUUCCA